CAGUAGCCGCGGUAAUACGUAGGGUGCGAGCGUUAAUCGGAAUUACUGGGCGUAAAGCGUGCGCAGGCGGCUUUGCAAGACAGAUGUGAAAUCCUCGGGCUCAACCUGGGAACUGCAUUUGUGACUGCAUGGCUAGAGUACGGUAGAGGGGGAUGGAAUUCCGCGUGUAGCAGUGAAAUGCGUAGAUAUGCGGAGGAACACCGAUGGCGAAGGCAAUCCCUUGGACCUGUACUGACGCUCAUGCACGAAAGCGUGGGGAGCAAACAGGAUUAGAUACCCCCGUAGUCCCUGUCUCUUAUAC
rnacentral:rRNA from 1 species